GACGAACGCUGGCGGCGUGCUUAACACAUGCAAGUCGAACGGAAAGGCCCUGCUUUUGUGGGGUGCUCGAGUGGCGAACGGGUGAGUAACACGUGAGUAACCUGCCCUUGACUUUGGGAUAACUUCAGGAAACUGGGCUAAUACCGGAUUGGAACUUCUGGUGCAUGGUGGGGGGUGGGAAGUUUCGGCGGUUGGGGAUGGACUCGCGGCCUAUCAGCUUGUUGGUGGGGUAGUGGCUUACCAAGGCUUUGACGGGUAGCCGGCCUGAGAGGGUGACCGGCCACAUUGGGACUGAGAUACGGCCCAGACUCCUACGGGAGGCAGCAGUGGGGAAUAUUGCACAAUGGGCGGAAGCCUGAUGCAGCAACGCCGCGUGCGGGAUGACGGCCUUCGGGUUGUAAACCGCUUUCGCCUGUGACGAAGCGUGAGUGACGGUAAUGGGUAAAGAAGCACCGGCUAACUACGUG
rnacentral:rRNA from 1 species